CAGCUCCACUAGGCAGUGCCCCAGUAGAGACUCUGUGUGGGGCUUCCACCCCAUAUUUCCCUUCUGCAUUGCAUUAGCAGAGGUUCUCCGUGAGGAUCUCACCUGUUCUGCAAACUUCUGCCUGGACAUCCAGGCAUUUCCAUACAUCUUCUGAAAUCUGGGAAGAGGUUCUCAAACUUCAAUUCUUGACUUCUGUGAACUUCCAGGCUCAACACCACAUAGAAGCUGCCAACGUUUCAGGCUUGCACUCUCUGAAGCCAUGGCCCAAGCUCUAUAUUGGCCUCUUUCAGCCACAGCUGAAGUGGCUGGGACACAGGGCACAAAGUCCCUAGCCUGCACACAGCACAGGAACCCUGGGCCUAGUCCAUGAAACCACUUUUUCCUCCUAGGCCUCCAGGCCUGUGAUGGGAGGGGCCGCUGUGAAGACCUCUGAUAUACCCUGGACACAUUUUCCCCAUUAUCUUGGGGACUAACAUUCAACUGCCAGUUACUUAUGCAAAUUUCUGCAGCUGGCUUGAAUUUCUCCUCAGAAAAUAGGAUUUUCUUUUCUAUCAUGUUGUCAGGCUGCAAAUUUCCUGAACUCUUAUACUCUGCUUCCCUUAUAAAACGGAAUGCCUUUAACAGCACCCAUCACCUCUUGAAUGGUUUGCUGCUUAGAAACUUCUUCCACCAGGUACCCUAAACCAUCUCUCUCAAGUUCAAAGUUCCACAAAUCUCUAGGGCAGGGCAAAAUGCUGCCAGUCUCUUUGCUAAAAUAUAAUAAGAGUCACCUUUGCUCCAGUUUCCAACAAGUUCCUCAUUUCCAUCUGAGACCACCUCAGCCUGGACUUUACUGUCUAUAUCGCUAUCAGCAUUUUGGGCAAAGCCAUUCUUCAACAAGUCUCUAGGAAGUUCCAAAGGUUUCCAUAUUUUCCUGUCUUCUUCUGAGCUCUCCAAACUGUUCCAAGCUCUGCCUGUUACCCAGUUCCAAAGUCACUUUCACAUUUUUGGGUAUCUUUUCAGCAGCACCCCACUCUACUGGUACCAAUUUACUGUUUUAGUCCAUUUUCACACCGCUGAUAAAGAUAUACCUGAGACUGGGCAGUUUACAAUAGAAAGAGAUUUAAUGGACUUACAGUUUCACAUAGCUGAGGAGGACUCUCAAUCAUGGCAGAAGGUGAAAGGCACGUCUCAUGUGGUGGCAGACAAAAGAAGAGAGCUUAUGCAAGGAGACUCCCAUUUUUAAAACCAUCAGAUCUCAUGAGACUCAUUCACUAUCACAAGAACAGUGCAAGAAAGACCCACCCCCAUAAUUGAACCACCUCCCACUACGUUCCUCCCAUGACAUGUGGGAAUUGUGGGAGUUACAAUUCAAGAUGAGAUUUGGGUGGGGACACAGCCAAACCAUAUCAUAUGGUCACUAAAAGUACCCUGCUGUGAACAUAAUGAAAGUCAUCACAAGCCUUUAGAUUUGUUUACUACUAUAUCUCUAUCACUGAAGACAUUUAUGCAUUUCAUCAUUCACGUACCUACCAACCACCUUACUGUAUACUAGCAGUGUUGAGGCCCCAGGGAAAGUAGUGAAUAAGACAGAUGGAUGUCUGCUCUAAAAUGAACAAGGUUUAAAACCAUGAUAUGUGCAAUGAAAAAAUUAAAACAGGGAUAUGAAAUGGUGAGUAACGAAGGGAGGGGAGAAGAAGGUUCUUUCCAAAAGGUAGUGAAGAAAAGUCUCUCCAACCAGAUAGUAAAGAGCUGAUCAUAGAAUAAUCUUGUGGAGUCGAGUGUGCUAUGCUGAGAGAAUGGCAAGAGAAAAACUCUUAGAAAAAAUCUUCCUGUAUUUGCAAAACAUAAAGCAGGCCAGAGUGGCUAAUGUGCAAGAAAAGACUGAUAGGACAUAAGAUCUGAGAGAGAGAAGAAAAUGAGGCCAGAUCAUGCAGAGAGGGCCCUGGCGGCCAAGAGAUUUUUGAUAGUUUGGAUUUAUUUUGAAUGCACUAUCAAGCCACUGAAUAGUUUAAAGUGACAGGAUAUGGUCAACAACUUAAUAUCACUCUGUCCGCCAUGUGGAGAAUGAGUUUAGUGAAAGUAGGAAGCGGGUAAUAAUGCAAGCAAGGAAACCACUUCAGAGGCCAUUUCAGCAGGCUGGCUGGUGAUGUAAAGUGAAGUGGAAUGUUGGAGAUGGAAAAAAUGUGAACAGGUUGAGAAUAUGUUUGAAGUAAGGUUGAAGGGACAUGCUGGUAGAUUGAAUGUGAAGGUUUGAGGGAAUCAAGACAAUGAAGAAUCAAGGACAAUGUCUGUCUCUUUAGCUUGGACCACUGGAUAGUACCAUUUACAGAGGUACAGCUGAGGAAGGGUCAGACUGGAGCAGAGAGUGACAGGGAGUUCUGUUUUGAC
rnacentral:lncRNA from 10 species